rnacentral:rRNA from 1 species
GAUGAACGCUGGCGGCGUGCCUAAUACAUGCAAGUCGAGCGAAGCGGGGACGGGUGAGUAACACGUGACUAACCUCCUAUAAGACUCGGAUAACUUCGGGAAACCCUAGCUCAACCGGAUACUCUUAGCUGGCUCCGCGCCGCAUUAGCUAGUUGGUACUGUCACGGCUUACCAAGGCAACGAUGCGUAGCCGACCUGAGAGGGUGUGCGGCCACACUGGAACGGAGACACGGUCCAGACGACUACGGGAGGCAGCAGUAGGGAAUCUUCCGCAAUGGGCGGAAGCCUGACGGAGCAACGCCGCGUGAGUGAUGAAGGUCUUCGGAUCGUAAAACGCUGUUAUUAGGGAAGCGGUACCUAAUCAGAAAGCCACGGCUAAAUACGUGCCAGCAGCCGCGGUAAUUC